rnacentral:rRNA from 1 species
GAUGAACGCUGGCGGCGUGCCUAACACAUGCAAGUCGAGCGUGAACCGUCUGAAUGAAACUUCGGUCGAGUGAGGAUGGGGAAAGCGGCGGACGGGUGAGUAACGCGUAGGCAACCUGCCCCGUACAGAGGGAUAGCCUCGGGAAACCGGGAUUAAGACCUCAUAAUACCAUUAUCUCACAUGUGAUAAUGGUCAAAGAUUUUAUCGGUAUGGGAUGGGCCUGCGUCUGAUUAGCUGGUUGGUGGGGUAACGGCUCACCAAGGCGACGAUCAGUAGCCGACCUGAGAGGGUAAUCGGCCACAUUGGAACUGAGACACGGUCCAAACUCCUACGGGAGGCAGCAGUGGGGAAUAUUGCACAAUGGGCGAAAGCCUGAUGCAGCAACGCCGCGUGAGCGAGGAAGGCCUUUGGGUCGUAAAGCUCUGUCGAGGAGGAAGAUAAUGACGGUACCGCAAGAAUAAGCCCGGCGUAACUUCGUGCCAGCAGCCGCGGUAACU